CCUACGGGAGGCUGCAGUGGGGGAUAUUGCACAAUGGGGGAAACCCUGAUGCAGCGACGCCGCGUGUGGGAAGACGGUCUUCUGGAUUGUAAACCACUGUCCCCAGGGACGAAAAUGACGGUACCUGGGGCGGAAGCUCCGGCUAACUACGUGCCAGCAGCCGCGGUCAUACGUAGGGAGCAAGCGUUGUCCGGAAUUACUGGGUGUAAAGGGAGCGUAGGCGGGGAUGCAAGUUGGGUGUCAAAACUACCGGCUCAACCGAUAGUCGCACUCAAAACUGCAACUCUGGAGUGAAGGAGAGGCAGGCGGAAUUCGUAGUGUAGCGGUGAAAUGCGUAGAUAUCAGGAGGAACCCCAGUGGCGAAGGCGGCCUGCUGGGCUUUGACUGACGCUGAGGCUCGAAAGUGUGGGGAGCAAACAGGAUUAGAUACCCUUGUAGUC
rnacentral:rRNA from 1 species